rnacentral:tRNA from 1 species
UUAAUAAAAACCAAAAUAGAGGUAUCUUAAUGUUAAUAAGAAAAAUGGUACUAAUCCUUAUUAAA